rnacentral:tRNA from 2 species
GAAUUUAUUGGCCCUAGGUUAGUGGCGCACGCUUGGAAAGCGUGUAAAGGGGCAACUCUUUCGCGGGUUCGAAUCCCGCUCUUUCCGCCA